UCACCUUAAGCUGCCAGUUCGCCAGCUCUUGUCCCGCUGCCUGCCCGCUUCCACCUCUGCUCCGCGAUCCUGGACUCUGAGCUUCUGGAACUUACCUUUGCAUCCUGCUUCUUCCUGUGGGUGUGGUGCAGUAUAAACAAACAUAUAAAACAGUCAACAGUGGUGUGGUCCUGUAAGAACUCGUGUCCAGAUAUGAACAAUGUGUGGUGUUAGACUGGAGGAAGCCAUUCUUUCUGAGUGUCUGAGUGAUCUUCUCACAAUGUACUAUGUGUGCACCACCUGUGCCUGUUGCCUACAGAUGCCAAGAACGGACAUCUUGAAACUAGAGCUACAGAUGGUUGUGAGCUGCCACUUAGCUACUGGGAACUGAAUCCAGGUCUUCUGCAAGAGGCCCAGACUGGAUCCAUUUCUAAUCUUAUACAUCUAGGUCAGAGUCAACCACUGAGGGAGAUCAAAGAAGGAACUCAAGUAGGAACAAAAGCAGAAAACAUGGAGGAACACUGCUUACUGGCUUGUACCCUGGCUGAUGCUCACUACCUUUCCUAUACAACCCAGGACAACAUGCCCGUGGAUGGUGCCACCUCCAGUGGGCUGGACGCUCCCACAUCAAUCAUCAAGACAACCCCUCACAUACAAGGCCACAGGCCAUUCUGAUUUGAAUAACGUGUCAACUGAGAUUCCCUCUUCUCUUUAACCUUUUCCUGAGCUAUUAAGCAUCAGGACUUGUCUUGGCCCUGAUAAGGGAGAGACAACCUCCUUCCCUCCCUCACUCCUUGCUGCAUAUGGCAGGCAAGAGGGCUGAUCCCUGGGGCUGGGGUCACGAGAUUGGAAGAACUGGACCUGUUCCUCACCAGCUAUAGCACAUGGGAGAGCAAGCCCUGCACCUUGCCUGGACAAUAGGAUAGAAAUUACCUUGACUGUGGGGGUUUCCAGUGAGCCAGCCCCUAGGAAGUAAAAGUAGGAGAGUCAUCAAGCUGAUACCCCUCAAACCCAAAUACAGAGCUUUGAGCUGGUCUACCCAACAUCUACUCCAUCAGUGAACUGCUGGAGUACAUGAAGAAUCCAGUCCUACAGAUCCAAAACUGUAGAACUGACAAAAGAGCAGAAGCAGAGGCCUUGUACCAGACCAACAAGUCAUUGCAAUGAACAUUUGCAAGCAAAGACAAAUGGACAAAAGGGUAUAUGGUGGGACACACUGUGACACACUACAGCUUCCACUCGUGGCUUUUUUUUCCUCUGUUAUGGAGGAGGUUGUAAGGGUAGAGGGAGGCUAUAGGGGAAGAGGGAGAUGAGUGGGAUUGGAGUGUAUGAUGUGAAAUUCACCAAGAAACAAGAAAACUUUUUUAAAAGAAUACUUUGAGAUUCAUAGCACUAUUAAACAGAAUAUUCAAGAAUAGCUCUCUCCUGUUAUGC